UAUAAACCUCGCGCAGCGCAGGGCAUGCAUCGUCUAGAGCCAUCCUCUUCUUCUAGUCUUUUUCCUCGUGCUGCUGGGCAGGGCUGUUGCUCCAUCCUUCCACGACCGCCGGCGCUGCUCUGCCUCGCCGUACCGCUUUCCCGACGAGGCGUCCCGGCCGGAUCGCUCACAUGGGGGUGGCGAUGAAACUGCUUGCACGAGUGAGUCCCCAACGUUUUGGCCAAAAAUAAAUAAAUAAAUAAAAAUAAAUUAAAGAACAGAACGGAGGACUUGUUGCAUUCGUAUUUCUUUCUGCGCUUGUUCACAGUCCCACGGGUUUUGUUCUCUUGCUAGCACUACCGCCCGGCGGGUCUCGCCGUCCACGUCCUCAUCACCGUCUUCUUCCUCGAACCACCACCCUCUUGUGCUGCGCGCCUGCGCCUGCGCUGUGCUCGCUCGCGCACUAACCGCGCGGGAGCAGUAAGUAGUAAUAACCCAGCUGUACCCGUAAUUCUCGCCGGAGGAGAACAGGACAGGAUCCAUCACGGACGAGGGUUGCUUUCGCCGCGCCGCGCCGGAAGGCAACAAUCGGGGACGACGAUCGGAUCGUCACGGAGGGAAACAGGAUAUUAUCGGGCGGGAGGGGGUGGCUGUGGCCUGUGGCUCGCAUCGAAGGU
rnacentral:lncRNA from 1 species